GUGGGGAAUCUUGCGCAAUGGGCGAAAGCCUGACGCAGCCAUGCCGCGUGAAUGAUGAAGGUCUUAGGAUUGUAAAAUUCUUUCACCGGGGACGAUAAUGACGGUACCCGGAGAAGAAGCCCCGGCUAACUUCGUGCCAGCAGCCGCGGUAAUACGAAGGGGGCUAGCGUUGCUCGGAAUUACUGGGCGUAAAGGGCGCGUAGGCGGACAGUUUAGUCAGAGGUGAAAGCCCAGGGCUCAACCUUGGAAUUGCCUUUGAUACUGGCUGUCUUGAGUACGGGAGAGGUGAGUGGAACUCCGAGUGUAAAGGUGAAAUUCGUAGAUAUUCGGAAGAACACCAGUGGCGAAGGCGACUCACUGGCCCGUUACUGACGCUGAGGCGCGAAAGCGUGGGGAGCAAACAGGAUUAGAAACCCUAGUAGUCC
rnacentral:rRNA from 1 species